CCUAGAUUGGUCUUCUCAAUUCAGUUUUUGCCUCACUGCCGCAUCCAUUCUCUCCAGGCUCUAGCACCGUCUUGCCUCCGGCAAUUGGAGACGAAGCAUCUGGUCAUGGAAAGCCGCAUCAGGACGUUCGGUGCGGUGGUCAUGGCGCACCAUGAUGGUCCGCCGCCUACAGCCACGCACCGGAGAGCACGGUAGCAAGCACCAGUUUGAGGUGAGGAUAUCGCAUUGGUCUCCUGCUGCUCACAUGUGAGGCCUCGGACGAGCGGCCAAAUCCACGUGAGGUGGAUGUUGCAGGCACGGCCAUCUCCCCUUCCUUCCUUCCUUCUUUUUCCCUCCAACAACCAUGUUAUCUUUACCAUGUCUUCUUUCCUUGUUGUAUUGUUUUUUCACCCAUUGGGAUAGAGAUGUUACCUCAGUCGGCAAUGAAGCCGGUGAUUUGUAUUCAAUAAUUUUCGUUAAUACGGUAACAACUUAUUUCAGUCCACCUGACGGAACGAGUUUGCAUCUGAUGAUGUCAGAACUUACGGAAAGUUUCUAAAAGAAAUUAUGACAUGGUAUUUUUCUUCACUCUUGAUUUGUUCCAUUCGUAUUAUCCACUCCGCCCUGUUAGAAGUAUAAACGUGAUUAGCUAGCGAUAAGGAGAUGGAGAUAGACUUAGUUUAAACACACAAUAUCUUGCCUUAUACUCCAAGCCUCUUCUACGUUGUACUCUAUAUAUACCUCUACGAGGGUCAGAUCAAUACAACACAUAAUCUAGGCAUCCUACAAUUUCCACAUGGUUCCGGUCUUGGCAAAACCGGUGGACUCAUCACCGACGGCAUCCUCUGACAUCCGCAAGGUGCACCUUCCACGUCUGCAGCCCCGUCAUAGCGCAUUUUUUUGUGCCUCCAGCUUUGUGCGGCUUCAUCAUCCACGGCGACCAUACCAUCGACCAUGGCUACAUCACCCUGACCGGCUACCUCGACAUCGACCACACGGCUACGUCUACAGCAACUCAUCGGCAACAACUCCAGUCAACAGCGUCCGCGUCGUCACUAGCGUCCACGCCACUUCCGCUGUGACUGCGGGAGGGAAUAGAGGAGAAGGCAGGAAGGCAACAGAAGGGGGCGCAGUCACCGCCCUAACUGCCGACCCAUCAGAGACGCAGUUGAUGAUGGCGCAGCGGAGAAGACGACAAAAGAGCAAGACUUCAAAUUCAGUCGUAGUCAUCCGCUUCACUCCCGCUACGACUGAGGGGAAAUGUUAGAAGUAUAAACGUGAUUAGCUAGAGAUAAGGAGAUGGAGAUAGACUUAGUUUAAACACACAAUAUCUUGCCUUAUACUCCAAGCCUCUUCUACGUUGUACUCUAUAUAUACCCCUACGAGGGUCAGAUCAAUACAACACAUAAUUCUAGGCAUCCUACAAUUUCCACACGCCCUAGGUUCGUCCCCCGUUAUAAAAUUUGGAGCCUCCCGCUGAAGGUCCAAGGAGGUGGAAGCAUGAACAAUGCCCUCAUCAAAUCAACUUAAUUGGAUUCGAAUUGAAGGAUGACUUUCGAGAAAAGGUAGUACGCAACUUCAUUUAUAUUAUGCACUUGGCAGGGAUAUUCUCAAGGAAUUGCAAGAUGAUGGGCUAUACACUUCACAUAGCCUGAGAUCAUGGUGAGUACAUGGUCUUUUGACUUACUUUCUUUGUAGUUGUUUUACAAAUUGAGGAGGGGUAGCAGAUGGAUGGCAUUGCCAUGCAGAACUGAAAACACUGUUGUAUGACUACAGACUCUUCACUGGAAUAAAAACAGCACCAUGGGGUACUCUUUGGCUGAAGUACAUAUUUUGUAUCUUCUUUGGACCUAAAUCAGACUGUUCAAGUGGUGUUUGCUCAGAACAUGCAGGUGGAGCACCAUGGGAUGCUCUUUGGCUGAGGGAAGCACUAUCUAGGACCGUUUAGACACUACCUAGAAGAGUGUUCUGUCUACAAAGGUACAGAGUUCAGACACUACAUAGAAGAGUGUUCUGUCUACAAAGGUAUAGAAAGACUAAUAGUUUCAUUUCUCAUGUCGACAGUCAGCUAUAAGAGUGUUUUGUCUCAUUUCUCAUUUGACAUAAUGAACUGUGAGUUUGCCAGCCAAAUGUCAUACACAAAGACAUACAGUGUUAAUAGCUGACAAGAAUAUGGAUUUCCUUCCUCUGUCAUGAUGUGCGGUAUAGUUUAUUGCCGCCUGGUGGUGAUAGUCAAUCCCCCUUGACACUAUCUUAUGUUAGCCCUUAUUUUCACCAUAUUUCCUUAUGCAGAGCCAAAGAAGGAAGAAAUAACAACACAACCAAAAGAAACAAAAUUAGGAUUUGAAGGACGGGAGGGCAGCACUCUAUUAAUAUUAUGAAUGAUCUGAAUUGCUGAUCAUUUUCUUUAAAUAAAAAACACUACCAACAAUUGAAGGAUUGCUUGAAUCAAAAUACCCUUAUACGGUUAAUUUAGUUCUUUCCAACAAAUUGUGUUCAUAAUUACCAUACAAUUUCUAUUGACUUUAAAAUAUGUGAGGAGUGAUUUAUGAAGGCAUGUUAUAUUCAACCUUAAUAUUAGUACUUAAAUAUAAUUUCUUUUCUUUAGACAUUCAUUGAAGCUAUUAUUUCCUUUCCCUUUGGGUAAGCCAAGGACGCCUGCUACAACUAGAAGAAAGUUCAGUGGAUAACAAGUUAUUCCCUCUGUAAAAAAAUGUAAAAGUGUUUAGGCAACUAAAGUAGUUAUCUAAAUGCUCUUAUAUUUGUUUACGGAGGGAGUAUAUAUUACCCAAGAAAACACAUAAAACCCAUCAGCAUAACAACUUGCAUCAGGCACGCACUACUGCCCAGAGUCAAAACUUCCCAAAACUUAGCCUGCACUGAAUAGGAAUUGAGCUAAGGCAAAAAC